rnacentral:rRNA from 1 species
CCCGCUGAACUUAAGCAUAUCAAUAAGCGGAGGAAAAGAAACUAACAAGGAUUCCCCUAGUAACUGCGAGUGAAGCGGGAAAAGCUCAAAUUUAAAAUCUGGUGGUCUUUUUGCCCAUCCGAGUUGUAAUUUAGAGAAGCGUCUUCCGCGCUGGACCGUACACAAGUCUCCUGGAACGGAGCGUCAUAGAGGGUGAGAAUCCCGUCUCUGACACGGACCGCCGACGCUUCAUGUGAUACGCUCUCGAAGAGUCGAGUUGUUUGGGAAUGCAGCUCAAAAUGGGUAGUAAAUUCCAUCUAAAGCUAAAUACUGGCGAGAGACCGAUAGCGAACAAGUACCGUGAGGGAAAGAUGAAAAGCACUUUGGAAAGAGAGUUAAACAGUACGUGAAAUUGUUGAAAGGGAAACGUUUGAAGUCAGUCGCGUCGGCCGGGACUCAGCCUUGCUAUCUUGCUUGGUGCACUUCUCGGUCGACGGGUCAGCAUCAAUUUUGACCGUCGGAUAAAGGCCGAGGGAACGUGGCAUCCUCCGGGGUGUGUUAUAGCCCUUGGUUCGCAUACGGCGAUCGGGAUUGAGGAACUCAGCGCGCCUUCAUUGGUCGGGGCUUCGCGGCUCACGUUAACGCGCUUAGGAUGCUGGCAUAAUGGCUUUAAGCGACCCGUCUUGAAACACGG